rnacentral:tRNA from 1 species
GCCUUGAUAGCUUAAUUUAAAGCACUGGUCUUGUAAACCAAAGAUUGUAAACUAAUCCUUACUCAAGGCU